UACGAAGGGGGCUAGCGUUGUUCGGAAUUACUGGGCGUAAAGCGCACGUAGGCGGAUAUUUAAGUCAGGGGUGAAAUCCCAGAGCUCAACUCUGGAACUGCCUUUGAUACUGGGUAUCUCGAGUAUGGAAGAGGUGAGUGGAAUUCCGGGUGUAGAGGUGAAAUUCGUAGAUAUUCGGAGGAACACCAGUGGCGAAGGCGGCUCACUGGUCCAUUACUGACGCUGAGGUGCGAAAGCGUGGGGAGCAAACAGG
rnacentral:rRNA from 1 species